rnacentral:rRNA from 1 species
AUUGAACGCUGGCGGCAUGCCUUACACAUGCAAGUCGAGCGCGAAAGGGGGCAACCCCGAGUAGAGCGGCGGACGGGUGAGUAACGCAUCGGAACGUGCCCAGUAGUGGGGGACAACCUCGAGAAAUCGAGGCUAAUACCGCAUACGACCCACGGGUGAAAGCGGGGGACCGCAAGGCCUCGCGCUAUUGGAGCGGCCGAUGUCCGAUUAGCUAGUUGGCGGGGUAAGAGCCCACCAAGGCGACGAUCGGUAGCUGGUCUGAGAGGACGACCAGCCACACUGGGACUGAGACACGGCCCAGACUCCUACGGGAGGCAGCAGUGGGGAAUUUUGGACAAUGGGGGCAACCCUGAUCCAGCCAUGCCGCGUGCGGGAAGAAGGCCUCGG